GGCAUCGGAGAAGAAGAACUGCUCUUCUUCAUCAUCGCAGGUCUAGAUAUGGACUAUCAGCCCAUCAUAUCGGCCCUUGACGUCCGCACCAACCCGGUCUCUGUCGACGAGCUGUUUGCCAUGAUGGCAAACUUCGACC
rnacentral:snoRNA from 1 species